UACGUAGGGCGCAAGCGUUGUCCGGAUUUAUUGGGCGUAAAGAGCUCGUAGGCGGUUUGUCGCGUCGGUUGUGAAAACCCGUAGCUUAACUGUGGGCGUGCAGUCGAUACGGGCAGACUAGAGGCAUGCAGGGGAGAAUGGAAUUCCUGGUGUAGCGGUGAAAUGCGCAGAUAUCAGGAGGAACACCGGUGGCGAAGGCGGUUCUCUGGGCAUGUCCUGACGCUGAGGAGCGAAAGCGUGGGGAGCGAACAGG
rnacentral:rRNA from 1 species